rnacentral:lncRNA from 1 species
AGGGUGAUCUGGGGCGCCGUGGGGGGCUAGGUUGGGGUGCCUGGGGGCCGGCGGGGAGACUCCCAGCGGCCCCCUGGUGCCUUAUGCGGCUUGGGGUGUGGUCGUCCUCCCUGGGCGGGCUGCUCCUGGUGCUGCAUCCGUUCCGGGUCCUUCUGGCCUGGGGUCGGGCCCCUGCUGGCUCUGGGCUCGCCGGCGGGUGCCCACUGGCUGCCUGUUCGGCGCGGUUCUGGUCGUCUGCUGGGUGUGGGCUUCGGCUCCUCCGCUGGGGCCUCGGGCAGGGAGUUCUCUGGGCCCUCCCCUCGGGGGGUUAGGCGCGGGGGUGGGGUGGGGGGGUGGGGGGGUCGAUGGGGUGGGGGGUCUGGGGGUUGGGGGUGGGAUCGGUGGCGUGGUGCGCUGGGUCCUUGGCUCCUUGGGGCUUUCUCGGGUGUGUAUGGGGGGGCGAUGGCUGCCUCUCGGCUUGGGAUCUUGGGGGCGUUCGGGGGACUGCUUGGCCGUGGGGUGGUCGCCGGGGGCCCUUAGGCUGCCUGCUCUUGCUGCUGGCCUGACUGCUUCUUCGGGCCCGGGGGCGGCUCUUGGGUUUUGCAGUGGCGGUACUUGGAAAUACAUUUGUCAUGGAUGCACUGGCCUUGGGCUGUGGGAUAACACUCAUACUGGGCUCAACCUUAGACACGUUGUUCCCAAAUACCUGUUUUAUGGAAUUUCCACUCACCUCUUCCUCUGUUCACAGCCACCACCAUUAUUCCUAAACCACACACUGGUCACCAAACUGGCUUGACAACACAACAAUAAACACAAUAUACACAACCACAAUUUCACAUCGCAUCACUUAAAACUAUUCCUCACCCAUUCCAUAUCCUAUCUUGUAUCCCUCUUCCCUGCUAACUUCCCCACCCCCCUCCAACCCCUCACCUUGGUGUAACACUGCCCUCUCUUUUUUACAUCCUCCCUUUAAUAAAGUAUUUCUUACCCUUCCCUAGGGAGGGCUGGUGACGGUCACAAUUAUGCAAUGAAAUAAAUAAAUUUAUUUAAUUGCAAUAAUAAAAUAUGCAUUGCUG